rnacentral:lncRNA from 1 species
ACGUUGCUUUGGUGAAUCCAUGAAUGAGACUUGAUCAUGAUCGUACCAUAUUGGUGACUCAUGUUCACUUUCUUUCCUUAUGGUUGCUAUUCUCUUCUUGAACACUCGGCAUACCACCCAUCCUUCUUCCUGUGGUUGUUUUAAGAACAAUCAAUGAGUGGUUCAAUUCAAGAAAGCGUUUAAUUUUUAUACAUUUACACUAACUAGUACUCUAUCCUUUUUCAAUUUGUUUAAACCUUUUCGAGUACGAGGGUCACAUUGACUAUGUGAAUUCUGGAUUCUUUAACUUUUUUGAAAUAAAGUUAGUACUAUUUAGAAAGUCAAAGAAGAUUUUCUUUGAUCAUAUUUUUUGCAAACACUUUGCAAAUAUAUUGUAUUGCCGACUAUAUUGGGACUUAUAAUUUUUACGUAGUUCCUAAAUAUGUAAAUUUUAUUUUAAAAAAUUUGAAAAAUCUAUGCCAGAAUUUACACCAAAAGUCAUAUUUCGAACUACAUCACAUAAAGUGGAAUGGAAAGAGUAAUGCGCAAGGCCAAAAAAUCAUUUAAUUUGGCUGAGUUAUGGGUUUGAUUUGCUUAGGAGGAGUUUGCAUGAAAGAUACGUAAAGGCAUAAUUAAGGUUUGCAAUUAUAUACAAAAUAGAAUAAUUAACUUGCCUGAGGGGCAGCAUUUGGAUCAGUCUCAAGUCGGUAUUCAUGCAUAAUCCAGUCAGAUUUUUGACCAUUUGGAGCCCUCCCUUUGUAAAACACCAAUGUCUUCCUC